CUCUUGUCUUCCUCGAAGUAGACAGAUUUCUGUUAUGUUCUACCGGGAACCUAAUAUAUUCCAGGUGAUUGAAUUGGGCAUCUUGUCAGAGGUUCUAUUGUGGAAAUCAUGGAGGUUUGAGAGAUAAAUUCAUGGUGACAAGACAAAGGUUCAAGAAGAGGUGUUUGAUUCGACUAGGAAGAACUAGGAAGGAGAGAAGAUGAGGGGUGAAACCGAUCAGAUCUAUAUAUAUUGCAGAGCAAAUUCCUCGUUCAAUUAGUGAGACAAGUGCCCCGUGAUUCUUCACAGGUCUCAUUCAUAUUUCUUGAGAUUCCUCACAAGUCUCAUUUGUGUUUGGUUUGAAGGAAAAGGUAGAGAAACUCAUACAAGAUUUAUACGUACAGGUUUCCCUAUUUUCAUACGAGAAAAGGAAUAACCAUGAUUUAAUUUGCUUACAAUAUUUGUACUUUUUGUCUCAUAUGCAAUCACAAGCAGUACAAAUUUUUCCCAAAAAUUGAUGUAAAAUCUCCGAUCUCAAUUCUCUCGAGUCUCGACCACAUCAUAUUGCUUCCUUUCUUACUCCAAUCUCCAAAUCAAAAUACUCCCUCCUACUUCUCCAUUCUCUUACAAGGCAGGGACCUCAUCCCGUAUCACUGUCAAAGAAGGCAGGCUUAUUUCAUUUUUAAUGCCUCUGUAUCUUUUUUUAUUGGCGGGAUAAAAGAAAGUAGUCGCUAUUUUUAAGGAUCGGCACCAAAAACCAUCACGCGCGAAAGCUAAAUUUCAUAUCGAACAAACGAUUGACUCUCCGCCUCUUCUCCAAGCCAAGGGUUUCUGCUCAUGCUCGUUUCAAAAGAGAGUGAAAGAGCUAAGUGGGAGCUGCAACUCCAACGUCGUCAACAUGGGUCGUAUGCACAGUCGUGGUAAGGGUAUAUCUUCAUCAGUUCUGUCGUACAAGAGGACUCCACCCUCUUGGUUGAAAAUCUCCGUUCAGGAUGUUGAGGAGAACAUCUGCACGUUUGUGAAGAACGGUUUGACUCCUCAAAACGGUGUCAUUAUUCAUGAUUCUCACGAGUGAAGGUGAUUUUGAUUCGGGGAAGUUCCGUGAAAGUUAGGAUCCACUUUUGAUGCUUCCUGCAUUGGGGGUGUAUUCCUGUGAUGCAAAAGCUCCCUUUGGUGGAAUGGGUAUUUCCAGUGAUGGAACAUAUGAUGCUUCUGCUCAUUCAGAUUACGGGACGAUAACUCUUCUGGUAACAGAUGGAGUCCGUGGACUUCGGGUUUGUAUAUCUAAUGGCCAAAAAAAGAUUGUCUCAUAUCUAUUGGUCAAAAAAAUGAUUGUCUCUCAAAUUUUGAUUGCUGACACUAUUCUAAUAUCACAUAUUUUUUUUUCUUUAACAGAUCUGCAUAGAAAAGGAUAGUUUGCCUUCCCUUUGUUUGUAUCUAUGUUUUAGUUUGUCUUUGGAGCUUAGAUGUUAUAUCUGCUUGAAUUCCAAGUUUGCAUCUAUGUUUAGGAAUCCAAUUCAUGAGCCUUGUCUUGCUUAUUUCUUUUCUUUUCAAUUUGUAACCUUCACUUUGUUUGUAUCUACAGUAUGCUUGUUUUAAUAUUCUUGUGCAUUUGACCUUUUUUUUCAACAGAUGGCAUAGUUUUGCUCUACGAAGGAUCCUCUUGUGUGCAUUUACAUAUUGUAGCUCUUUGGUGAAAGAUUAUUUCUGAGCAGUAAUGCAGUUUGUUUUUUGUGAAUAAUCUCUUGGGAUAAGAAAAAAAAGAACCUCUACUUCUAUAUUGGCUACUCUCUAUUUUGCUUAAUAAAUUUGUUACAUAAUAGAAGUGAUAUUACCAGUUAUCUACGCCAAAAAAGGAAAUGAUUAAGGUUUUGUGAAAAAAAUUUAAGGAAUCUGAACUUAGUAGAUGAUAUUGGCUCCUAAUAGGGUGGCGUAGUGAAGUGGGACUCAUGUAACCAACUGAAGUAAUUGAGUUACGUACAUCACGAGGUUUUGUUUUAGUUUAUAGUAUUCUGUUCUCUUGUUCAUAUGGCUCUGCUAUCAUACUCAAUCAAUUUGCUGAAUUGAAUCCAGUUUGAUAGCUGAAGCCUUCAAGCUAGAGUUCUAUAAACUAGUUUGAGGGACCCUUUCACAAUCAAUUUUCUAGGGACAAAUUGCCUUCAAGCUAUUAGUAGCCCUCUGUCUUCAUGUAAAUUUUCUAGAGCUUUCCUUCUUUGCUGGCAUUUUUAUGUAUUUAAGUUUUGGCACCAUGCUUUUACUUGGAUUUCUUGGGAGUAGUAGCUGUGGAGGUUCAGUAUAUGUCCAUCUAUACAUAUUCAAAUGUCUUAAACAUCAACUUUAUAAUUGCAUGGAGAGUAUACAUAGUUAAAGCACUUGUAAUAUGUUUUUAAAUUAAUAACUAAAAUCUCUUUGCUGAGCUACCAUGACAACAUACAUGAAAGCUUAGAGAAAUCUUAGACUGUCAGUUAUAAUAUUGUAUUUGUUUUUUUUUUUUUUUGUUGCUUUAUGGGUCUAAGGGUCAUUUUUCUAGUAUUGAAAUUUCAACAUCAAGAGUGGGUUGUAAAUUUGAUUCAGGACCAGAGGUGGUUGCCCAAUGUUUGGCUUAGUAGAGGGUGCUCUCUGUCACACAAGCUAUUGCUUAAUUUCUUAGGAAAAUGCAGAAUUCUAGCAGAACUAAUUCUCACUUAGGUUGGUACAAGGUAGGGGUACUAAUGUUGCUCUGCUUCCGGUUCUUUCCCACAUUAGUAGAAGCUGAAGCCUUGGUUGACCCAGAAACCAUCAUUUGCACAGGACUCUCCAAAUUAAUUCAAUUUCUUCCCCACAACAAUAGCAGCUGAAGCCUUAGUGGAUUCAGCAAGAUGGCAAAACCAUCAUUUGCACAGGACUCUCAGAAUUACUUCAAGUUUUUCCCCAUAUCAAUGGCAUCUGAAGCCUUUGUGGACCCAGCCAGACCAUCAUUUGUGCAGGACUCUCAGAUUUACCUCAAGUUCCUACUUGUAGCAAUAGCAUAUGUAGUCUUUGUGGACCCAUCAAGGUCAUCAUUUGCACAGGACUCUUAGAAUUACUUCAAGUUCUUCCCCAUAUCAAUAGCAGCUGAAGCUGUACUGGACCAGGACCUGGCAAGACCAUCAUUUGUGCAGGACUCUUGGAAUUACUUCAACUUCUUCCCCAUAUCAUCAAUAGCAGCUGAAGCCUUAGUAGACCUAGCAAGACCAUCAUUUACACAGGACUCUUGGAACCCGCAUGCCAAAUCCAUGCUUUGCCUUCUGAACUCUGUUUAGAAAUCCAAAAAGGUCAUUCUUCAAAUGGCAAUGUAAACUAGUUGGUUUUGAAAUACACUUUAUUUCUACAGAUUAUUUUGUGGUUCAAUAUUAUACUAUACAAUAAACUAGAAGAUCAGAAGAUCAGAUAGAACAAGAGUUGCAAACUAUAUAACCAUGGAGGUAGUAUUUAUCUAUAACUCUGGAAUCUGAAUACGAGAAGCACAAUCAACAAAAUUCUGUUCAUUGUAUUACAUAAGAAAUAGAUUGUGGAAUCCAUGGUACUGGAAGUCGCAGGACCCUUAACCAACUAAUUUACAAAAAAAAAAAAAAACACCAAAUCAGAUUUGGGCAAAUUGAAAAUGGAUAGAUGAAUUGUACAAGUUUGUAUGGUGAUCUGAAUAGUAUAUUGGCCUACUCCCACUUGUUUUGAGCAAUAUUGUGUCUUCUAAUGAAAUACUUUCAGGGUUUCUUUCAAGGGUUUCCAUGGGUUUAUUUCCUUAAUUUAAUUAAGACCCCAUGAAAAUGUGAAGACAUUUGUACCCACCAAACACUAAUGCAAAGAAAGAAUAUAAGACUCUUUAUGAGUCUAGUUCAAUAAUAUUCUAUUGACUUUUGAAAUGAACAUAUAUAGUAUCGGAUGAUUGACACUAAUUACUAUAGACCUUUUUGGUUUCUUUAUGAUAAAAACAUAGAAUAAGCAUUGAUGAAUGAAAUUGCCUAAUGGCUUCCAAGAUUAAAUUUCUUCAUAUUGAGACAAAGCAUCAAUUAAUUACCAAGCUCAUAAUCAGAAAUGAAUGGUAUUUGCAGGGAGACAUACUUUGAGCUACAGGUAUCUAAUAUGGAUUGUUGGAGAUGAGAUCCAUUAACUCAUUAAUCAGAAAUGGAUGGUAUUUGCAGGGAGACAUACUUUGGACUGAUGCAAGAAACAUUGUUUCUCAUGGUGGCAUGGACAGAUUCCUUUCUGUGUAUAUAAUUACAAAGAAGGAAAUGCAGUUGGUUGGCUUAACUUCACUGUUGCUAGCAUCAAAAUACGAGGACUUUUGGCAUCCAAAGGUCAAGGAUUUGAUUAGCAUCUCAGCUGAUUCAUAACAAGAAAUGAAAUGCUUCAAUGGAGUCUUAUUCUCAAGAAGUUGAUGUUCCGUCUGAAUGUGCCAACACCAUACGUGUUCAUGUUAAGGUUUCUCAAGGCUGCUCAGUCUGAUAUGAAGCUUGAACAUCUCGCUUUCUACCUUAUUAAGCUGUCCCUAGUUGAAUAUGAAGCUUUGAAAUUCAAACCAUCCUUGCUAUGUGCAUCGGCUAUAUAUGUUGCACGAUGUACACUGCAAAUAGCCCUUGCUUGGACCACACUACUUAGCAGACAUGCACACUAUGAAGAAUCAGAACUCAGAGAAUGUGCAGAUAUGAUUUUGAAAUUCCAGAAGGCUGCUGCAAGGGGACAAUUGAAAGUUACAUAUGAAAAAUACUUGCAUCCUGAUCAAAGUUGUGUUGGAAUUUGAUUUUUGUUUUUUUUUUUGUUCUAUGAUGAUGGAAGUCAAUUGGAAUUUUAUGGAU